rnacentral:rRNA from 1 species
UGGGGAAUUUUGGACAAUGGGCGAAAGCCUGAUCCAGCAAUGCCGCGUGUGUGAAGAAGGCCUUCGGGUUGUAAAGCACUUUUGUCCGGAAAGAAAUCCUUGGCUCUAAUACAGUCGGGGGAUGACGGUACCGGAAGAAUAAGCACCGGCUAACUACGUGCCAGCAGCCGCGGUAAUACGUAGGGUGCAAGCGUUAAUCGGAAUUACUGGGCGUAAAGCGUGCGCAGGCGGUUUGCUAAGACCGAUGUGAAAUCCCCGGGCUCAACCUGGGAACUGCAUUGGUGACUGGCAGGCUAGAGUAUGGCAGAGGGGGGUAGAAUUCCACGUGUAGCAGUGAAAUGCGUAGAGAUGUGGAGGAAUACCGAUGGCGAAGGCAGCCCCCUGGGCCAAGUACUGACGCUCAUGCACGAAAAGCGUGGGGAGCAAAACAGGAUUAGAUACCCUGGUAGUCCACGCCCUAAAACGAUGUCAACUAGUUGUUGGGGGAUUCAUUUCCUUAGUAACGUAGCUAACGCGUGAAGUUGACCGCCUGGGGGAGUACGGUCGCAAGAUUAAAAACUUAAA